rnacentral:rRNA from 1 species
AUUGAACGCUGGCGGCAGGCCUAACACAUGCAAGUCGAACGAGUGGCGGAAGGGUGAGUAAUGUCUGGGAAAAGGCCUGAUGGAGGGGGAUACCUACUGGAAACGGUAGCUAAUAACGCAUACCAUCGGAUGUGCCCAGAGUGGAUUGACUAGUAGGUGGGGUAAAGGCUCACCGAGGCGACGAUCCAUAGCUGGUCUGAGAGGAUGACCAGCCACACUGUAACUUAGACACGUGCCAGAUUCCUAGGGUCGGCAGCAGGGGGGAAUAGUGCACAAUGGUCGCAAGCCUGAUGCAUCCAUGCCGCGUGUAUGACGAAGGCCUUCGGGUUGUAAAGUACUUUCAGCGGGGAGGCGUUACCCGCAGAAGAAGCACCGGCUAACUCCGUGCCAGCAGCCGCGGUAAUUC